CGUAAAAUUUCCACCAGCAUUUAGUGUAACAUUUAUCAGAACUAUGCUUGCAUAAGAACUUUUGUCAUUGAACAGGAAACUGAUGUGAAUAUGAUGUGUGCUUAGAUGAGAAGGAAGCUAAUGAUGAGAAGGAAGUGAAGGAGGCUUUGCAUGCAUGGAUACCUCAGCUAUUUCAUUAAAGGCAUUGCCUGCACAAGAUGUGAGAGGUCUUAAUAGUAAUGGGAUGGAAAGGAGGCAAUUCAAUACAGAGAAAACAUCACUCUCAAGGGUUUUCCUUGCCAGGAGGCUGUGAUAGGUCAUAUGAUACUAGAUAUACACCAAUGGACAAACACAAAGAGGCAUCUUCUUCUAACCAAUUGACAAGAUACACGUGGCUGUGAGUUUCCAUUCUUAGUUAGCGAGUGGUGCAAUCUCAACUUCCUUGAUACCACAGAGCUGUUUGGCAUGGGCAGGUAACCAAGAAAAGCCAGGGUAAAGAGCAUUCCAACAAUAGAGAUUGACAUUAGCUAUGCCCUUACAGCAUUCCUGGCUGUAGCUGAUCUUACCAGUCCUCAAAGAGCUGCUGUACUCAAUCGCACAAGUUCUAGCAGGAUACACAAGUGCAUUACAUGGUAGUCGUGGUACAAACUCGAAGGGAUUUCGAUGUCCUGGUUCAAAUUCUACUGUUUGGCCGUGUGCAACCAUGGUGGUCGCCGCGCCCACCAGUAGGACUAAUACCAUUAUGGACAAUGGCGAGGCCGCCGCCGCCAGUUUUCUUACACUCACCAUGAUAGAAACUCUAUACCUUUCUUCUUGAUUUCUUCUUGUUUGCAAUGUAAUGGGGUUCUCUGCUACUUUGGUUUUUAUAAGGAAAAAUAGACAAGCCUUUGAAAACCGUUUCCCUAUUAAUCAACCCUCCUUCAGUAAUGGCUUUUAAAUUAAAGAUGUUAUAUGGUGAAUAGAGUUUAUCAUUUGGUGACUUUGAUCACUAUCCCUUGUCGUAAAACAUAAGCGAUCAUCUUUGAAAUUCGACAUAUGGCUAAUCUAGACCGUUAUUUUUCUAUAUAGUGGGCAGAACAACCACAAGUGGGACAUAUAGGGAGGCCUCUCCAGUGAGUCAUGUAAAAGACUUUCACCAUUAAUUAUAGUUAAUGACAUGUUUUAAUGCUUUUAA